rnacentral:lncRNA from 1 species
AUGCUCAUAGAUUCCUGGAGUCUAAUUGUUCCCUUCAUCUCCACAGCUCUGCCUGUAAGAACUGCCCUUUCCCAAAGCAGGAAGGACCAAGGAGGAGGAAGAGGAAGAAAUGGUUCCUGUGUGCCUGACGGCUGGGGCUCUGGGGCUCCCACCCCACUUACCAGAGACUUGGACACAGGCUGGAAACGGUCAAGCCCAAGAUGCUGGGAUUCUGAGCAGAGCAGCCAGUAUUGGCUUCUAGGUGAUUCCUGUCAAUCCAAGAUGAACUGCCAGGUAUUUGUCAAUCCAGCACUUUCCUGGAUAGUUUUAAGUUCUCCCCUAGUCAGUGGAUAUGUAUCAUCUUGGGAAGUCUUAGAUUUUUCCCUUUAUGUAUAACUCUUUUCUGCUUGGGGGAGCUAAGGGAUUAGACCAGAGGUGCUGGCUGGGCUGGGCAGCCAGCGUCAGGGUUGGCCCUUAAUAAAAAAAAAAAAAAGGACA